rnacentral:rRNA from 1 species
AUGCCAGUGUCCGGUGAAGAGGAGGUUAACGGGGCCCACCAGAGAGGAAUCUCAGUAACAAACCACUCUUCUGAAAAAGAGGCCGGCAGGCUGCAAUGCAGCUCUGGUUGUACAAGUGUCCCUUUCACCCUCCCAAUCCACACGGAACCAACCGCUUUCUCCUACCCAAUAUCACCUUUGCCCCUUUUAUACAACCCAACCUCACUCUCCUCCCCUCUCCUCUCCUCUCCUCAGUUCAUCUCUACGGAGUAG